CUCCUCCAAACAAUUUUGACGGAGGCCUUUUCCAAUCCUUGAUCUUCAGCCUAACAACCGAGGAUGUUGGAGUGGGGACAAUGGAAAGUGUCAAGCAUUUGUUCAUUUCGAUCAAAUUUGAGUAUUGUGCUCUGAGGCUGCCAUCAUAUAACUGAUGAUCGGCUUCUAGCUUGGGUAGAUAAAUGUGUCAAACUUGAAAAAUAUGGGUACAGGGGAAGGUUCAUUCUUGUAGUGUUCCUCUUAGCUUUAACAAGCUGGACAAAUCUCUCACUCAGGUAGCUUUACAGGACGGUGCCUCUUACAUUAUCCAUCUUGCCUUAAACGAACAGAAAAAAUGUGAUCCACCCAGUGUACUUUCAAUCAUAAUGGAUGUUGCUGAGGGAGCAGAAUAAAAAAUUGAAUAUAUUGGCUUGGAGGGACGAGAGAUCAAAAACAAUCGACAAAUAGAAUCCCAACUAUUGCAAACAUAGCAUGGAGAUAAGAAGUCCUCUUUGUACCGCUAAAAAAAAAUAUGUAACCUGGUUGCAUUAGUUUGAAGUAGUUCACAUCUUCCUCCAGAUUAAACCAUUCUCCUUGUAUUUUGAUGUCAAGAUACUUGACGAAAUGGUGAACUAUGUGCUACUUGAGUCAAGAACGUGGUUUUGAAUUACAUAUGCAGCUAAUGACAUUUCGUAGUAGUGUUGUGCUUGUAUUGGCACGGGCCAUCUCCACUAGUUUUAGUAUACGUGUAGCUAAUACUACUUAUUUGGGAAUAUAACAAAAAAUUAAGUUGAU